GUGUGCUAUAUGUACCCGUUUGAUCAUAAGCAUCAAUUCCUUCUGUGUCCAGCAGUAACAGGUUGUAUUCUGUUCCAUCAAGAGCUGUUCUCCUUAAAGGUGAACUCCACAGCCAGAUACCUUUUGUGCAUGGCCGAUGAGUUGCAGCCACUUGAAAACCGCUACUCCUGCCAAGAAGCUGGUUAAGUAUAAAGCUCUUGCCUUGACGAGCACGACCACAAACGGAGACAAUACCAACAGGCUCUUUGACGAGUUGAAGUAUAGCAAGUGCCUCUGGAUCGAUCUGGAACUUCCCUUUCUCAUCGCAAUACACGAAACGAAUCGGUCUGGCUGGACCGGCAGCAAUGUUGACAGAGGAUGGAGGAGAAGUCUGUGGAGGCGACGGCGACGGUGACGGAGAAGAUUGCUGCGGCGACUCUCCGGCGGAACCUCUACCGAAU
rnacentral:misc_RNA from 1 species